UCUUAAUGUGUAAAAGCUGUUGUUUGAAAGACCAAGAAAAUGCUUCUGCUUGGACUUUGUUGGUGCUAUGAGUUUAAACUAUUCAUACCUCUGCCCAGCCACCUCAGAAUAAUCCCCACUGGCGGCCGGUUCUGGCCUGGGUCUGGACCGGUUCUGCCGAGUUUCCGGCCCUGUUUUGCUCCAGACUCGGUCUCUAUCGGGGAUCUGUUUUUUUUUUUUUUUUGGGACAAUCCCUACCUCGGGAUUCUGGUGACCAGCACACACACACACAGACACACAGACACACACACACAGACACACACACACACACACAUACAAGGGGUGAGGCCAUUUGGAAGUGAAGAUGGAGAGAAUGACCCUACUGCUUGGACACACCUGGCCCUUCUUCCUUCCGUUUCCACCUGAUGUUUGUCCUUGUUUGUUCGUUCAUUCGUUUCGUCUGUUUUUAGACAAAAAAAAAUCUCCAGCUGCAGAUCAUGUUAACGUUUGUUUAAAAAAAAGAAAAAAAAAUAGAGGUCAAAGGUGAAAUCUGCUCUACAUCAGGAAGAGAAAAGGUCCCUUUUGUGUCCCUUUUGUGAACACUUUUGCUCAAGCUUCACACUGCUCCACCACGAACAGCUUCUGUGUCUGUGUGUGUGUGAGUGUGUGUGUUUGUGUAUGUAUGUGUGUUCGUUCCUCCCCUGUAACGUGAUGCCUUUCGUAAGCAAUAGACUUGCUCCAGUGUUUUGUCAUAUCUAGGACUUCACACACAAACUGCACAGACAAUCAGAAAUGAUGUUGAGAGAGCACGAGAGCGACCGAGCAAGCGAGAGAGAAAGAGAGAGAAAGAGGGAGAGCACAAUUUUGAUACCUGAUUGAAUGGAUGUGGGUAUGAGCGGUCUACUUUCACAGAGGAAUGUAAUAGUCAUGGGAUGUGAAUGGCUGAAUCUUAAACCUAACUCAGUUUGAAGUGAAAAGACAAAACAAAAUUAAAAAAAAAGAUAUUUUACAGUAUAAAGGAUAAAGGUUGUAUAUUUUAAGAUUGCAGAUAUUUUUUACAGAAGUUAUAUGCAUACUAUGAGUCAUUUUACCGUUUUUGCAUACAUAGUUCUUUUUCUCAAAUUUCUACAAAGACAGCAUCCUGUUGCUUCUCAAAACAAGAAUAAGCCCAUAACCAGGUCCACAACAACAAGAACCCCAUAACCAGGUCCACAACAACAAGAACCCAUAACCAGGUCCAGAACCCCAUAACCAGGUCCACAACUAGAAUAAGCCCAUAGCCAGGUCCAGAACAAGAAUAAGCCCAUAGCCAGGUCCACAACUAGAAUAAGCCCAUAGCCAGGUCCACAACUAGAAUAAGCCCAUAGCCAGGUCCAGAACCCCAUAACCAGGUCCAGAAGCACCCAAAGGAGAAAUACACUUACAGUGGGGAAAAUAAGUAUUUGAACCCCUGCCGAUUUCGCAAGUUUGGCCACUUGCAAAGAAAUGUGUGAUCUAUAAUUGUAAUGGUAGGUCUAUUUUAACAGUGAGAGACAGAAUAUCCACAAAAAACAUCCAGAAAACUGCAUUUUAUAACAGGUAUGAAUUGAUUUGCAUUUGUCGCGGAAAAUAAGUAUUGAAUACUUA
ensembl:lncRNA